GACGAACGCUGGCGGCGUGCCUGACACAUGCAAGUCGGACGGUUCUUGCACCUUCAAGCUUGCUUGUUGGUUCAAGGAUAGUGGCGGACGGGUGAGUAACGCGUGAACACCUACCCAUUGGAGGGGUACAACCCGUCGAAAGGCGGGCUAAUACCGCGUAAGCCGUGAGGUGAAAGGCUGCUCUUUGGUGGCUGCCGAUGGAUGGGUUCGCGUCCUAUCAGCUGGUUGGUGGGGUAACGGCCUACCAAGGCUAAGACGGGUAGCCGGUCUGAGAGGAUGGCCGGCCACACUGGAACUGAGACACGGUCCAGACUCCUACGGGAGGCAGCAGUGGGGAAUCUUGGGCAAUGGGGGAGACCCUGACCCAGCGACGCCGCGUGAGGGAUGAAGGUUUUCGGAUUGUAAACCUCUGUUCUUGGGGAAGAGGAGGAGACGGUACCCAAGGGAGGAAGCCCCGGCUAACUACGUG
rnacentral:rRNA from 1 species